rnacentral:rRNA from 1 species
UACGUAGGGUGCGAGCGUUGUCCGGAAUUAUUGGGCGUAAAGAGCUCGUAGGCGGUUUGUCGCGUCGGGAGUGAAAACUCAGGGCUUAACCCUGAGCCUGCUUCCGAUACGGGCAGACUAGAGGUAUGCAGGGGAGAACGGAAUUCCUGGUGUAGCGGUGAAAUGCGCAGAUAUCAGGAGGAACACCGAUGGCGAAGGCAGAUCUCUGGGAGCCGUAAC